rnacentral:lncRNA from 1 species
GGAGUACUAUAUAACUUUUAAUAACUUGUACUGUAAUUUCAAUUCGGGCAGUGGGCACUACCCAAUUCAAUUGUUUAGUUGUGUAUUUCUUUUCAAAUUAUGAAAAAUAAUUUCUUCAUUGAGAUAAUUUUAAAAUUUAAAUCAAAUUAUAAUUAGAGAUAAUAUAUGAAAUUGGCCACUUUGUUAUAGUAAAAUUAAAAUUUGGCCACAUAAAUAAAAAAUCUUAAAUUUAGCCAGUUUUUAUGUAAAAGUA